GCUUUAGCAACGCCAGUUUUGUUCCAGCCAUGCUUCCACUCACAUCAAGAACUGUGACUAGAUCGACAGGAGCCCGAGAAGACGAAGAUGGAUUUGAAGAGGACUUUGAAGAAGUAGGAGCUUUUAGAUUGAUCAGUACAGCAAAAUCCU
rnacentral:sRNA from 1 species